rnacentral:rRNA from 1 species
CCUACGGGUGGCUGCAGUGGGGAAUAUUGGACAAUGGGGGGAACCCUGAUCCAGCCAUGCCGCGUGUGUGAAGAAGGCCCUCGGGUUGUAAAGCACUUUCAGUGAGGAAGAACGCCUGGUGGUUAAUACCCAUCAGGAAAGACAUCACUCACAGAAGAAGCACCGGCUAACUCCGUGCCAGCAGCCGCGGUAAUACGGAGGGUGCGAGCGUUAAUCGGAAUUACUGGGCGUAAAGCGCGCGUAGGUGGCUUGAUAAGCCGGUUGUGAAAGCCCCGGGCUCAACCUGGGAACGGCAUCCGGAACUGUCAAGCUAGAGUGCAGGAGAGGAAGGUAGAAUUCCCGGUGUAGCGGUCAAAUGCGUAGAGGUCGGGAAGAAUACCAGUGGCGAAGGCGGCCUUCUGGACUGACACUGACACUGAGGUGCGAAAGCGUGGGUAGCAAACAGGAUUAGAUACCCUUGUAGUC